GCGGCAGGCUUAAUACAUGCAAGUCGAGGGGCAGCACGAAUAGCAAUAUUUGGUGGCGACCGGCGCACGGGUGCGUAACACGUAUGCAACCUUCCUUCAACUGGGGAAUAGCUCACCGAAAGGUGAAUUAAUACCCCAUAAUAUUCGAGAGUGGCAUCACUUUCCAAUUAAAGAAUUUCGGUUGAAGAUGGGCAUGCGCAACAUUAGCUAGUUGGUGAGGUAACGGCUCACCAAGGCUACGAUGUUUAGGGGAUCUGAGAGGAUUAACCCCCACACUGGUACUGAGACACGGACCAGACUCCUACGGGAGGCAGCAGUAAGGAAUAUUGGACAAUGGGCGCAAGCCUGAUCCAGCCAUGCCGCGUGCAGGAUGACGGCCCUAUGGGUUGUAAACUGCUUUUAUACGGGAAAAAACCCUCGCUCGUGAGCGAGGCUGAUGGUACCGUAAGAAUAAGGAUCGGCUAACUCCGUGCCAGCAGCCGCGGUAAUACGGAGGAUCCAAGCGUUAUCCGGAUUUAUUGGGUUUAAAGGGUGCGUAGGCGGAUUUGUAAGUCAGUGGUGAAAUCCUGCAGCUCAACUGUAGAACUGCCAUUGAUACUGCAAGUCUUGAGUACAUAUGAUGUGGGCGGAAUGUGUAGUGUAGCGGUGAAAUGCUUAGAUAUUACACAGAACACCGAUUGCGAAGGCAGCUCACAAAACUGUAACUGACGCUGAGGCACGAAAGCGUGGGGAGUGAACAGGAUUAGAUACCCUGGUAACCCACGCCUUAAACGAUGAGAGCUAGUUGUCAGUAAGCAUGCUUAUUGGUGACGCAGCUAACGCAUUAAGCUCUCCGCCUGGGGAGUACGGCCGCAAGGUUAAAACUCAAAGAAAUUGACGGGGGCCCGCACAAGCGGUGGAGCAUGUGGUUUAAUUCGAAGCAACGCGCAGAACCUUACCCACCUUUGACAUCCCGUGCUAUCUAGAGAGAUCUAGAGUCCCUUCGGGGCGCGGAGACAGGUGCUGCAUGGCUGUCGUCAGCUCGUGUCGUGAGAUGUUGGGUUAAGUCCCGCAACGAGCGCAACCCUCGCUUCUAGUUGCCAGCAUUUAGUUGGGCACUCUAGAGGAACUGCCUGCGCCAAGCAGGAGGAAGGCGGGGAUGACGUCAAGUCCUCAUGGCCCUUACAGGUGGGGCUACACACGUGCUACAAUGGCGGUGACAAAGGGAUAAUCCCUAAAAGCCGUCUCAGUUCGGAUUGUCCUCUGCAACUCGAGGGCAUGAAGUUGGAAUCGCUAGUAAUCGCGGAUCAGCACGCCGCGGUGAAUACGUUCCCGGGCCUUGUACACACCGCCCGUCACACCAUGGGAGUUGGUUCUACCUGAAGACGGUUUCCCAACCGCAAGGAGGGGACCGGCCACGGUAGGGUCAGCGACUGGGGUGAAGUCGUAACAAGGUA
rnacentral:rRNA from 1 species